CCUACGGGUGGCAGCAGUGGGGAAUAUUGGACAAUGGGGGGAACCCUGAUCCAGCCAUGCCGCGUGUGUGAAGAAGGCCCUCGGGUUGUAAAGCACUUUCAGUGAGGAAGAACGCCUGGUGGUUAAUACCCAUCAGGAAAGACAUCACUCACAGAAGAAGCACCGGCUAACUCCGUGCCAGCAGCCGCGGUAAUACGGAGGGUGCGAGCGUUAAUCGGAAUUACUGGGCGUAAAGCGCGCGUAGGUGGCUUGAUAAGCCGGUUGUGAAAGCCCCGGGCUCAACCUGGGAACGGCAUCCGGAACUGCCAAGCUAGAGUGCAGGAGAGGAAGGUAGAAUUCCCGGUGUAGCGGUGAAAUGCGUAGAGAUCGGGAGGAAUACCAGUGGCGAAGGCGGCCUUCUGGACUGACACUGACACUGAGGUGCGAAAGCGUGGGUAGCAAACAGGAUUAGAUACCCUGGUAGUC
rnacentral:rRNA from 1 species